GAUGAACGCUAGCGGGAGGCUUAACACAUGCAAGUCGAGGGGUAUAGUAGCAAUACUAGAGACCGGCGCACGGGUGAGUAACGCGUAUGCAACCUGCCCUCUACAGGAGGAUAGCCCGCUGAAAGGCGGAUUAAUACUGCAUAGUAUGGUACAAUCGCAUGGUUGAACCAUAAAAGCUGAGGCGGUAAAGGAUGGGCAUGCGUGACAUUAGCUAGUUGGCGGGGUAACGGCCCACCAAGGCUACGAUGUCUAGGGGUUCUGAGAGGAAGGUCCCCCACACUGGUACUGAGACACGGACCAGACUCCUACGGGAGGCAGCAGUGAGGAAUAUUGGUCAAUGGGCGCGAGCCUGAACCAGCCAUCCCGCGUGCAGGAAGACGGCCCUAUGGGUUGUAAACUGCUUUUGUGCAGGAAGAACGUACAGAUCGUGAUUUGUAGUGACGGUACUGCAUCAAUAAGCACCGGCUAACUACGUGCCAGCAGCCGCGGUAAUAC
rnacentral:rRNA from 1 species